UUUUUUUUUUUUUUUUUGGCUAUACCUGAGGCAUGUGGGAGUUCUCAGUCCAGAGACUGAACCUGCACCACAGCCAUGACAACACUGGGUCCUUAACCCACUGCACCACCAGGGAGCUCCCAGCCUAUUUACUUCCCUGUGUCCUGGUUUUUCUGUAGUGAACCCGGUUUUUAAAAACGGGGGACCCUCAAAGAGACUUGCCUGCAUGAGGCUGGUACAACCAACAGGAGCACAGGGCACCCUGCUGACCAGAUGAGGGAGCUGAAGGAACUGGGGUGCCCCUGCUGGACCCCAAAUGCUCUCCCGUAACCCCAGCCUUUCCCGUGACCAGGGUCCCCACAGGCAGGUCUGCCCUCUGUCCCCUCCCUCCCUGGGCCAGGCGCCACCUGCAUGCCACUGUCACACUGCUCCUGGCAUCCAGGGAUACCCCCACCCUCUCUGAGCCUUCCCUCCCCGCCUUCAAAGCCUGGCACCUGCUGCCGAGGCCCCACCAGAGGCCUGCAACGCCCCACAGACAACCCCUCGGCCCCGGGGGGGUCCCCCAAAGCCAGCAUCCCUGCCGUGGUGUCAGCCGUGGGCUCUGGAGCAGCUUUGAGCAGGAAAGCUGCUCUGCUGAUGUCAGGUCACUUAAAAUAGAAUUCCAAAUGAGCAGCUUUGUUAGGGGAGUCUAAAAUUAGCAUUCCUCCUCAGCAGGCGAGCCCUGGCGGGCUGGGGAGGGGUGGUGGGGGCUGCGGGACCACAGGCAGCCCAGCUGGGGGGACAGCCCCCUCGCACCUGGGAUGCAGAAGGACAAAGGCCAAAUGCGGGGGACCCAGAGACCCCGCACAGGUCACCGUCGUCGGGGGCCCACACCCACCUCUGUGGCCUCACGCCCCUCACAGGCUCAGCGUCACUCCAGGGCAGGGCUGGCCCGGCCUCCCCCACACAGGUGUUCUGCAGAGGCUAGGCAGGUGCCACUGUGACCAUGGAGGCCCCAGGGGUGGGGGGGCCUCGAGAUGGCCCUGGUAACCUCAGGAAGCUGAGAAGCAGGAGCACUGACGCCCCCCCACUCCCCCCCCCUUUAGAGAGGUAUUUAUUAACUUCUGUGCUCCCGGCCAUCACUGAGCUCUUGUCUGCAUUAUCAGCUCAUGUAAAUUCAUUAUCCUAACAGCUGGGAACAGGCUUGGCCGGGAGGAGGGCCCGUGAUGGAUGAGGCCUGGGGGGCUGGGGCGGCGACACGGCUCCCUCUCUGUGGCACCAGCCCCCACACGCGGAGCUCAGGUGGCCUCCUGGGCACCACACGUGCUCAGUCCUGGACAGGCGCCUCCUGCCACCACCAUCGCCUGCCUGCUCGACCCCCCAGCAGAAAACAGCAGCCACAGCCAGACACGGGGAGGCGGGAGCCCCUGCCCUGUGCCCGAGGCCGAGGGCAGGGGGAGAGGGAACGCUGCCAGGCCAACGGUACCCACAAACCAACCUGGCCCCUCGUCACACGGAUGCCCACAGUCUAAGAAGCAAUGACCUCUGGCCCCAGGACGGCCCAGGGAGGCCCUCGCCUUAACUGUCCAUCUACCAAAGUCUGGUGUCCUUCCUGAAUCCUGGGUUCUCUUCCCUGCCCAGGCCUCUCACGGCCAGCAGCAGCACAAAGCUUAUAUAAAAAAAAAAAAAGCGAAGACGACAAAUCCACUCCGAAGGGCGCGCCGGGCUGGAGGCACGGCGGACGCUUUUCCAGAACCCGCCCCGUCCGGGGUUCUUCUGAACAGACCCCGAUCGAUCGGGUCCCCGCUGGCCAAACGCUCCGAACAGCAGGACUUAAGAGGGGGGGCCGGCCGCGCUCCCCCCUCGGCGGCCGGCGGAGGGCGUUAUUAAUCAGCACGCCGCGGCCUCCCUCCAGCCUCCCGCGGAUCCCGUAAUUACGGCUUCCUUUCAUCCCGCUCUUCCGCGGCUCCAGACCUCAGGCCCGCUCCCUCCAUGCUCUGUAAUUACAAGCUAAUAGCUGAGAUGAAUUUUCUGCUGGCUCCCGGUUCAAGCACCAAUCCGCCCCUUCCCCUGACAGCCCCCCUCCCCCCCGGGUAAUUACACCCCACGAGGCCGGGCCCAGCAGGGCCUCACUUUCAGGCCGGCGUGUGCAAUCUGGACUUGCAUUCUCUAAUCACCCCUCUUGGUAAUUUUUCAUUACCGCAGAAAGAAAUGUUUGUGAACAAAUACAGGGCGUCCCCCGGCUCGGGGCCUCCGCGCCGCCGCCCCCCGAAAGGGGCGAUGCUCCGGCAGCCCUAACAAGGCCGGGGUCACCCGAGCAGAGACCCGGGCAGGCGGCGGCGGUGCGGGGCGCCACGUGAUCCCCGGAGCCGGAGCGGCCUCAUAAUAAAUUCAUAAUUAUAUUUGCCUCCGGCGUGUUCUGAGCUCACUUGCACGAAGCCGUCUUUCUCGGGGGUGGGGGCGGGGCGAGUCGGGAAGGUCUUUGCUCCGGGAUGCCCGGGGUGGCCUGCUUUAGGCCUGGGUGUUCUCUUUCAAGGAAGGUGACACCCCCUCGGGCUGUAGCUUUCUAAGGGGAUGGGGGCCUUUGCUUGCCCCCAGAGAGACCCAGACCUGGAUGUAUCCCCAAGGCCCAGGCCCCAGGGACCAGCAAGCCGAGCCAAGGCCAUUGCUAAUUGCUGGCGCUGGGGACGGCCCGAGCAGAUGGCCUGGAUCCUGACCCGGAACCAGAGAGAAGGACCAAGGGGGAGAGGGGGGAGGGAGGGAGGCAGCCUGUGUGUCCGGAGGAGACCCCGGCCCAGGAGUAACACGAGGAACAAGGCUGCCAUCCCGCCCCGGGCAGCCUGUCACUCAGCGGCAUUCGUUAAAUUGCUUGCGAAGGCGCAAGGCAGGAGCUUACAAGCUGCAGAAAGCCUCCGCCAGGACCCCUGUCAGUGAGAACAGAAGCCCACCCCAGAGCCAGCACCGCUCAUGUCUGGGGUCACUGGGCAGCCACGGAGAUCGGGCUCAGCAGCUGCAGCCAAGUGGGGACGAUGAGGGGCUGGUGACAUUUAGGGGCCUCGCCAGCCCUGCGUGCUGUCAGGUUAGGGACCGGGGGGGGGGCGUGUGUUAGGGACUGUGUGUGUGCGCGCGCGCGCGCGCGUCAGGAGGGUGAAUCCAGGCUCCAGGAUGAAGCAUGUUCAGGAGACACCCCUAGACGCAUGUGACACUCAGAUCGUGUGCCAGGAAAACCCGGGCAGAGCUCCCCAGUGGGCAGAACCUGCGGGGCCGAGGCCGCAGCUGCUCAUGGGCAGGGCUCCCGCAUGGAGAGCUCAGCGGUGGGGAUCGGGGCAGACAGAAGCCUCCAAGGACAAUCCAGGGGUUGGGGUUCAAGGCCACAGACGACUGGGAGACCCGGACAUGCCGGUGGAGGCAAAGGACGAAGUCAGGCAACAGAUGGUCGUGACAUUUGACGGCGAUUAUUCUAAGCGGGUGCUGCGUCUGGAGAAGCCCGGGACGGGCAGAUGAAGGGCUGGCAGCAGCCAGGGGGUGGCGGGGCCGGCCCGGGAGGGGUGUGGAGUGGGAGAGGCAGAAACCCAGUGCACAAUUCAGACAAAAAAGGCUGAGAGACAGGAUCAGGGCGGAGCCCAGGACCCUCGGAGGUGGUCCUGAACCACAGUGUCAGCAGUAACAGUCACAGCGCCUGGCCCUGCCCAGUGCGGCUCGGUCACCCUUCACGAUAAUCCAGGACCAGACCCCAAGCAGAGAGGUCAGCCAAGGGCCUCCUACACGGCCCAGCCCCUACCCCCACUCCACAGAUGGGUAAACCGAGGCUGGAACAGAGUCACACUGAGCCUGGGGUGGCAUGCUGAGAUGCCGAGGAGCCGGGCACGCGUGACCCCGGUUUUCCGAGCUGCUCUAUGGACAAUUUCCCUUUAAACGACAAAAUGCUGGACACAACCCCUCUUAGGGGUCCCCUCCUCUCCUGCAGGCCGCCGCAAGCACCCGCCACACGCUGCACCACCUUCCAGAUGAUCUGGGACGGGCCCCCCACCCCCGAAUCCCACAUUCCAACAGCUCUGGGCUGGAGGGUGCCCAGGCCACAACCCCGGGAGCGACCCCUUUAUGUGCCCGAGGCCCCUGAGCCCACCAGGCCACCCAGCCCCACCUCGCCCACGAAGCAGCCCUUUGAGUAGGGCCUGGAGGCCCGGGGUGCAGGACGUGGGUGGGGGUCCGAGGUGUCCGGGACAGAGGUCCCGAAGGACAGGAACCCGACCUGGCGAGGAGGCAGCCACUAAAUGCCUCCAAGUUUCCAUGGAGCGGGAGGCCAGGGCCAGCAGGCAGGAAGAGAGGCCAGGGGGGCAGGGGUCAAGGGCAGGUCCUUUCUCCGAAGGGAGGAAGCCUGCAUGGGAGACCAGACUUUGAGGGGCAGGGAGAAGAGGAAGCAAAGGCCCCCGCUGGACGGGGCUUGACCAACCUGGGCCCAGGAAUGCAGGCAUUUCAAUGGCUUCCGCCCGACCCCUCGGGUGAACAGAGGUUCCAGAGACUGUCAGAGCACCUGUCCCUUCAGUCCUGAGACGGUGCUGACAAGAGUCUGUGCAGAGCGGGCACCUUCACCUGCAUCCCCAGCCCCCAGGGCACUGAGGAGGUCCUCAGCCUGCAGAACAAGUACAGACACCAGCUGCAUCUUGGCAGGUGCAGAGCCAGCCAGACUGCACCCUGCUCUGGCGGACUGGGAACUUGAGAGUCCACGUGGCAGGACCACCAGGGCUUACGCCAAGGAACUGCAUCCUUGGUAGGGAAACAGCUGGAAGAUGGGGAUGCUGGCCUGGCCCCCCCCAAGCUUCCAGUGGGGUCCUGUCAGGUCACCAUGUGGUCUGAGCCUCAGUUUCCCCAUCAGCACCCCCGGGAGGGGUGGGGUUCUAAGUAGCCCCCUUUCAUCCGUCAACCUGUUUUGGUUUUCGUUUUUGGUUUCUUUAGGUCCACACCCACGGCAUAUGGAGGUUCCCAGGCUAGGGGUCGAAUCACAGCUGUAGCCACCGGCCUACACCAUAGCUCACGACAAUGCCAGAUCCUCAACCCACUGAGUGAGGCCAGGGAUCGAAUCCGCUGCUAGUCGGGUUUGUUAACUGCUGAGCCACGACAGGAAUUCCUGUUUUUUUUUUUUUUUUUUUCAAUGGCCACACUCACAGCAUAUGGAAGUUCCCAGGCCACGAACUGAACCCCCGCCUCCGCAGUGACCCGAGCUGCCUCAGCAGGAUUCUUAACCCAAACUGCACGACGGCGAGAACUCACCAACCUGCUUUUACUGGGCCUGCAGUUGCGAUAUCUUUAUUUAUCUAUUUACAUUAAAAUAUGCUGCACCUGCAGCCUAUGGAGAUUCCCAGGCUAGUGGCUGAAUCAGAGCUGCAGCUGCCGGCCUCUGCCACAGCCACAGCCACACCAAAUCUGAGCCACAGCUGCGACCAACACCACAGCUCACCACAAUGUCGCAUCUUUAACCCACCGAGGGAAGUGAGAGAUCGAACCCACGUCCUCGUGGAUACCAGUCGGAUUUGUAACCCGCUGAGCCACACCGGGAACUCCGAGAUAUGUUUAAAAGUGAAUCCAUGGACAGUGUCUUAGAAUGGGAGGUUUCAAGUCAAAAUGAAGAUUUCUAGUUUCUCUUGAAAAAUCAGGAGCCACCAAACCCAAGAGUGGCAACUGUCCCUUAGUCUGUCCAGCUCAGCAGCAUCCCCACCCCUCCCUACCGUCUCAGGCUGGUCAGCCUGCGCGAUGCCCGGAGACCUCGCCAGCUCUGAAACGAUGCGGGUUUGGGCGACAAACAGCGUCUACGGGGGCUUAAUAAAUGUAUGCGACCAGGACACUCGGCUCGGGUGUCAGCAAACAUCUUCGUUUAUCCAGCUUCAACAGAGACAGGUGGACCCUCCCCCUUCAGCUUGGGGGUGAGGGGCAGCCAGGAGGGAGGCCCCGAUACACGGCGGGUGGGCCCCACUCGAGUCAAAGGCAAGACUUGCCUCGAAUUAUAAAAUGGUUUUCGCUUCUGCAAAAAAGGCCCAUUCUCAUGAUGGUUCAAAGUCACAGACCAGACCGUCUCUCCAAGGAAACACACGCACUGAAUUGUGCAUGGAGUUGGACCAAGCUCACAAAAGCCUACCUGUAAACCCCGUGGAUCCAGAUGCGGGUACAGAGGUACGUGGCGUCUACAGACCCUGCAGCACACAACCCUCUAUAAAGCCAAGCCCGGGCACUGACACACCUCCCCAGCACUUCCAUCCGGGCCAAGAGGCUAUGGAGGAGCAAAGAUACGAAGCUCUUAUGGAGUUUCCAUGGUCUAAAUUCUUUUUUUUUUUUAAGUCUUUGGGGCCACACGUGUGGCACAUGGACGUUCCCGGGGCUGGGGUCAAAUCGGACCUGCAGCUACUGGCCUACACCACAGCCACAGAAACUCAGGAUCCGAGCCUCGUCUGUGACCUACACUGCAGCUCAAAGCAGCACCAGAUCCUUAACCCACUGAGCGACACCAGGGAUUGAACCCACAUCCUCAUGGAUACUACUCAGGUUUGGAACCCGCUGGGCCACAAGGGGGACUCCUCCAAGAUCUAAGUUCUAAUGGUAUUUCCUCACUCAGGCUCCUCUACCAUCUUCAAAGCCCUAUGUACCAUGCCCAAACAUCAAUCACUGCCCCACUUAACAAAAAACAA
rnacentral:lncRNA from 1 species